rnacentral:rRNA from 1 species
AACGAACGCUGGCGGCAUGCCUUAUACAUGCAAGUCGAACGCGAAAGUCUUCGGAUGAGUAGAGUGGCAAACGGGUGAGUAACGCGUGGGAAUAUACCUUAUAGUACGGAAUAGCCUCGGGAAACUGGGAUUAAUACCGUAUACGCCCUUCGGGGGAAAGAUUUAUCGCUAUAAGAUUAGCCAGCGUCAGAUUAGCUUGUUGGUGGGGUAAUGGCCUACCAAGGCAACGAUCUGUAGCGGGUCUGAGAGGAUGAUCAGCCACAUUGGGACUGAGAUACGGCCCAAACUCCUACGGGAGGCAGCAGUAGGGAAUAUUGGACAAUGGACGAAAGUCUGAUCCAGCAAUGCCGCGUGAGUGAUGAAGGCCUUAGGGUUGUAAAGCUCUUUUAGUAGGGAAGAUAAUGACGGUACCUACAGAAAAAGCACCGGCUAACUCCGUGCCAGCAGCCGCGGUAA